GGCCUGUUACCCGGGGUAAUUUGGAUUUGAAAUCCAACAAUUAAGAUGUUCAACUCAUCUACAAGCCU
rnacentral:tRNA from 1 species